ensembl:processed_transcript 1700120C14Rik RIKEN cDNA 1700120C14 gene
AGGAGACGAGUCGCGGGGUCUCACCAUUCCUAGGCUGCCAGCUCCAACAAUUUCUCCGCGGCGACGGCAGGAGCCGCAGGGCCAAAGCCGGCUUCCGUGAGACACAUCUACUUCCGGGUUGCGAACGAAGGGUUGGACGAUCUCUUCCGGUUCGUCCUGGACCCGUAAGUGGAAGGGGCGUGGCCGUGCGCCUUAGUGGAAACCAUUUUGCGGGGAGCCGGAAAUACAGCUUUCCCGGUUGGCAGAAGCGCUUAGGGAGGCACCAGGCAGUGUUAAUUAUAGGAACCGCGGAGGUUUCCGUGUUGGAAAACGCAGCGGGAGGGCGGGGCUUGUGCUGAGACCCCGCCCAGGCGACGCUGGGAGGGGCGGGGCCGCCGUGCAUUCGUAAUUAGCACUAACCUUGGUAGGUCUCUCUGGACCAAAUCUUGUAUUGUUUUAUCUGCCAGUGUUUUCAGAUAAGGGAUUCGGUCAGGCUCUUUGCUAAGCACAGGACUGGAGGAACAUGUUGGAGAGUUUGCUCUAACUGUGGCGUACAGUACGAUCCCGAAAAUUCCUGUCUAAGGGGGAGAUGCAGGAUGGUGGCCGCGUUCCUAAGGAAACACUCCUUAGAAGGAGCGGCGCCAGUUGCUUACGCCAGAAGAACUCCAUCUAGACUGCUGGGGUCAGUCGUGGGUAGCCAGCAAACCAACCGAAUCCUUUUCAGAGGACAGUGUUCCCUGAGGAAACUGUUUUGAAAGAAAGAACUAGUUCCCAGAGAACAGGAGACGUCCAGACUUUGGGGCCGUGAGAGAUGCCCGGGAAAGCUAGGGAGACUGGGCUCUAAUAGCUCUUUCAUGCCUUCUUUGAGGGGCACAAAAGUGGAGCAGCUCUGGCUGGAGGAGCUUCCGGGAAGAGCGUUUGCCCAGCGUGCCUGACAUCCUGAACUUAAGUGUCAAAUGGACGACCCUGACAAGUUGCAAGUCUUCUCUUCAUAAUAUACUGUUACUUAUUUAACGAGCAUGUAUUUGCUUUAUCGCUCCCAAAACAAAGUUUUCUGGUAUACAGUGUGCUUGUUAGAGGUUUGUCAACUUGAAACUAGCUAGAAUCUUCGCGCUCAGUUGAGAAAAUGCCUCCUUCAGACUGGUUGGUAGGCAAGUCUGGGGUGUGUUUUCUUGUUUGGAUAGAUGUGGGAGGUCUAAGCAGUGCCUGCCUUGAGGUUCUUGCCCCAACUUUCCUCGGUAAUAGACAGUGACUUGAAAGUUAUGAGAUGAGGGGCUGGUGAGAUGGCUCAGUGGGUAAGAGCACCCGACUGCUCUUCCAAAGGUCUGGAGUUCAAAUCCCAGCAACCACGUGGUGGCUCACAACCAUCCAUAACGAGAUCUGACUCCCUNUCCCUCUUCUGGAGUGUCUGAAGACAGCUACAGUGUACUUACAUAUAACCAAUAAAUAAAUCUU